rnacentral:lncRNA from 1 species
CCUGGAUCCAUGCAGGCAAAACCUGGAAGCAGCAGAUAUUCCAGGAUUGUUGAUGUUGAUGACACUGGAGGCCCAUUCUGCCACAGCCAAUGUGGAAAAGGCGCAGAACCCUGGACACUGCCAUUCUGAAAAAAAGCCAGACUGUGACAGGGUGCCAGCACAGGAGGAAGAUGCUUGUUAAUGAUAGGAUGCACUGGACCCUGGGACCCCAGUGCUAAGUAAAGCAAGAGGCCCUGGUGACCUGACUGAGAUCGUGUGUCUGCCACCUAGCAAAAAUGAGACCAGAGAAAAGGAGGUAAGUUGCUAUAUAGAAAGAGAAGUCAUACAUUUUACAUACUUGUGAUUA